UUAAGUUCAGCGGGUAUUCCUACCUGAUUCGAGGUCAACUUCAGAAGAGUUGGGUGUUUUACGGCGUGGCCGCGCCGCUCUCCAGUCGCGAGGUGUUAGCUACUACGCGAUGGAAGCUGCGGCGGGACCGCCACUGUAUUUGGGGGACGGCGUGUGCCCACGGGGGGCUCCGCCGAUCCCCAACGCCAGGCCCGGGGGCC
rnacentral:misc_RNA from 1 species